CGCUGGCGGCAGGCUUAACACAUGCAAGUCGAACGCACCUUUCGGGGUGAGUGGCAGACGGGUGAGUAACGCGUGGGAACGUGCCCUUCAGUUCGGAAUAACCCAGGGAAACUUGGGCUAAUACCGGAUACGUGCGAGAGCAGAAAGAUUUAUCGCUGAAGGAUCGGCCCGCGUCUGAUUAGCUAGUUGGUGGGGUAAUGGCCCACCAAGGCGACGAUCAGUAGCUGGUCUGAGAGGAUGAUCAGCCACAUUGGGACUGAGACACGGCCCAAACUCCUACGGGAGGCAGCAGUGGGGAAUAUUGGACAAUGGGCGCAAGCCUGAUCCAGCCAUGCCGCGUGAGUGAUGAAGGCCUUAGGGUUGUAAAGCUCUUUCGUCCGGGACGAUAAUGACGGUACCGGAAGAAGAAGCCCCGGCUAACUUCGUGCC
rnacentral:rRNA from 1 species